GGAGAGUGGCGGUGUAGGAGAUCAGUGAGAUAUGGGGGGGUGAGGUUAUAUAGGGCUUUGUAAGUGAUGAGGAGAAUCUUGAAAUGAAUGCGUUGUUGAUUG